CAUCUUUUUGUUGUAGUGCACAUUGCUGCAGCUCCUCUUUUCCCCCUGUGUGUUGAGCUCUCUGCUUUAGUUACAGAGUGAGGCACCUCACUUCUGUUACAUCUUUGUUG